UUGGAGACAUACAAAGCGGAUCUGAACAUUGAUUUGAAGAAGCACCAUACGCUGGUAACAUUUCUGGACAAGAUGGCUUAUUGGACUAUUAAAUCGCUCAGAUUUCCCACUAAUCUAUUUUUCAGUUUAUGAAGGGGAAAAGUCCUUUUAUAAGGAAGAAGACAUUACUAUUCCGGUAAAUGUUUAUGGUAAAACUAAAGUCGCAGCUGAGUAAUUCAUUUUCAAAAAUUACUCGAGUUAUGCAAUUUUGAGAAGCAAUAUCAUCUAUGAACCACAAACAGUCUCACUUGUUCCAAAAUCUCUUCCAAUUCAGUGGAUGGAUGGUGUCCUUGCUAAAGGAGAAGAAGUGCAGUUCUUUCACGAUGAAUUCUGUUGUCCGAUUUUUGUUAAGGAUCUUGUAAAUAUAAUACUAGCUUUAACAAGCUUAUGAAUAUCAGAGGAUAAGCAAAUAUAAUUGUUACUCAAUGCUGGUGGACCUGAUAAGGUAUCGCGAGUUCAAAUGGCCAUGCACAGUUUAGAGGCCAUGACACCUCAAAAAUAAAAUCAGUGUCUGCUUUGCCGGUAUGUAAUCCACUUCAUUUUAUCACAAUUUUCGGAUGUAAUUAGUAAUUGUUUAUUGGUUGCUAUAAAACUGAAUCAAGUAGAAAAAAAAUAAAGGAAAAAAAAAACCUUUUUUUGUUCCAAUUAAAUUAAUCAAAAUAGAUGGUUGCUAUUGUUCAUGUAUGUUGAUUGGUAUUGAUUCUAGUGUGCUUGUUUGAGUAUAUAGGAAAUUUGUAGCUGA